UGGGGAAUAUUGGACAAUGGGCGGAAGCCUGAUCCAGCCAUGCCGCGUGUGUGAAGAAGGCCUUUUGGUUGUAAAGCACUUUAAGCGAGGAGGAGGCUACUAGUAUUAAUACUACUGGAUAGUGGACGUUACUCGCAGAAUAAGCACCGGCUAACUCUGCGCCAG
rnacentral:rRNA from 1 species